GUUGACCAGUAUUCGCUGAGGACUUUUUCCAACUGCAUCAAUUGUGUUGGCUGUAGGUUCUAUACUGCUUCAAAAGCUGUUUUAAGACAACUAUUUGGUUUUAAAAAAAAAAAUAUAAGGUAUUACCACAAUGGUGAGAAAAUUGUUGAUAUCAGAUGUAUCCCCUGGGGAAAAAGAUUGGUCUUGUAAGGUAUGUGUUGUAAAGAAAUUGGAUGCCCAAGACUCCAAAACUACUCCGGGUAACAAAUACAGGCCAAUUAUUCUUCAAGAUGAAGCAGGAUACAAAGUCCAGGCGAUGACGUAUGCAAAUGAAAUUGACAUCUUUGAUAAUAAGUUAAGCUUGAAUGCAACAUACAUUAUCACAGAUGCAAUUGUAUCAAUUCCUAGAGGGAAUCUUGU